rnacentral:SRP_RNA from 1 species
GCUGGGUGUGGUGAUGUGUGCCUGUAGUCCCAGCUACUCAGGAGGCUGAGGUGGGAGGAUCACUUGAGCCCAAGAGUUCUGGGCUAUAGUGUGCUAUGCCAAUCGGGUGUCCACACUGUUUGGUAUCAAUAUGGUGACCUUCCGGGAGUGGGGGACCACCAGGUUGCCUAAGGAGGGGUGAACCGGCCCAGGUUGGAAAUGGAGCAGGUCAAAACUCACGUGCUGAUCAGUAGUGGGAUCGCCACUGCACUCCAGCCUGGACAACAUAGUGAGACCCCCAUCUCU